CCUUCGGGUGGCAGCAGUGGGGGAUAUUGCACAAUGGGGGAAACCCUGAUGCAGCGACGCCGCGUGUGGGCAGACGGUCCUCUGGAUUGUACCCCCCUUUCCCCCUGGCCGCCGCUGCCGGUCCCUGGGGAGGAAGCUCCGGCUAACUACGUGCCAGCAGCCGCGGUAAUACGUAGGGAGUGCGCGUUGUCCGGCAUUCCUGGGUGUCCCGGGCGCGUAGGCGGGGAUGCAAGUUGGGUGUCAAACCUACCGGCUCACCUGGUAGUCGAACUCAAAACUGCAGCUCUUGAGUGAAGUAGAGGCAGGCGGAAUUCCUAGUGUAGCGGUGAAAUGCGUAGAUAUUAGGAGGAACACCAGUGGCGAAGGCGGCCUGCUGGGCUUUUACUGACGCUGAGGCUCGAAAGUGUGGGGAGCAAACAGGAUUAGAUACCCGUGUAGUC
rnacentral:rRNA from 1 species